GUGAAUACACAAGCACUUAAUAGCUACAUUUUCAAUAUGUUGUAAUACACGAUUAUAUACCACCCUCAAAAACUACAAAUAGGAUAAUUUAAAGCACAAUUUACCUAAAACAUGGUACAUCUGGAUUGCGGUACCAGUAUAGGUACAAAAUACAGUAUAAAAAUUUCAAGAAAAAUUUUGAUGAUAUAGGAGAGAAAAAGAAAAAGAAAAAUAGGCUGUUCAAACACUACAUUUCUCUUCAACGUCAUCAGUAGAAGAGAACAUCAGCAUGUAUGCGGUGCAUAGUCAAGCAUCUUUAAAAGGGUCAAUCUAUUUCUACUAGUACAUCUGGAUUGUGGUACCAGUAUAGGUACAAAAUACAGUAUAAAAAUUUGAAGAAAAAUUUUGAUUAUAUAGAAGAGAAAAAGAGAAAGAAAAAUAGGUUGUUGGAACACUUGCAUUUCUCUUCAAGGUCAUCAGUAGAAGAGAACAUCACUAUGUAUGAGGUGCAUAGUCAAGCAUCCUUCAAAAAGGUCAAUCUAUUUCUACCGGUACAUCUAGAUUGUGGUACCAAUAUAGGUACAAAAUACAGUAUAAAAAUUUGAAGAAAAAUUUUGAUGAUAUAGGAGAGAAAAAGAGAAAGAAAAAUAGGUUGUUGGAACACUUGCAUUUCUCUUCAAGGUCAUCAGUAAAAGAGAACAUCAUCAUGCAAGCGGUGCAUAGUCAAGCAUCCUUAAAAGGGCCAAUCUACUUCUACUUAUGACACCAUAAAACACAAGAAAGAAGAUUCGUAAGUACAAAAACUGGCCAAACAAACAGGAAAUCUUGGACAUUAACUGAGCCAGACUAGAACUCACAAGGAAUCUUUGGUUUAAGCUUUUUGACAAGCAAAUCUGACAGUACUAUCUACAACAUUGCAUGCUCUCAUCCACAAUAAAAACAAAUUCGCUAUUUCAUUGUAGUCACCUUUUAUAUGGUAUUUUAUGAGAUUAUGACGAUGGCUGUGCAGGCAUGAUAAAAAAGGAGAUUCUAUAACAUUCUAACUUAAAGAAAACUNNNN
rnacentral:lncRNA from 1 species